rnacentral:rRNA from 1 species
GACGAACGCUGGCGGCGUGCUUAACACAUGCAAGUCGAACGGAAAGGCCCUGCUUUUGUGGGGUGCUCGAGUGGCGAACGGGUGAGUAACACGUGAGUAACCUGCCCUUGACUUUGGGAUAACUUCAGGAAACUGGGGCUAAUACCGGAUAGGAGCUCCUGCUGCAUGGUGGGGGUUGGAAAGUUUCGGCGGUUGGGGAUGGACUCGCGGGUUAUCAGCUGGUUGGUGGGGUAGUGGCUUACCAAGGCUUUGACGGGUAGCCGGCCUGGGAGGGUGACCGGCCACAUUGGGACUAAGAUACGGACCAGACUCCUACGGGAGGCAGCAGUGGGGAAUAUUGCACAGUGGGCGGAAGCCUGAUGCAGCAACGCCGCGUGCGGGAUGACGGCCUUCGAGUUGUAAACCGCUUUCGCCUGUGACGAAGCGUGAGUGACGGUAAUGGGUAAAGAAGCACCGGCUAACUACGUG